AGCUUUGCGCAGUGGCAGUAUCGUAGCCAAUGAGGUUUAUCCGAGGCGCGAUUAUUGCUAAUUGAAAUAUAUGAGUAAAUAUGAGUACAUAUUAUAUAAUGUGUAAAUAAAUACUUGUAUGGUGGGACUUCUGC